UGGAAGACAUUGAAUCUGCCAUUAGUAGCCCAGCUGAUCAGCAAGCUUACAGCAAAAGAUUGUCGUAUGCCUUUCGAACGUUGUUACUCUUACAUAAUAUGGUUCAUAGAUUCAUACAAGUGAGUAGUUGGCAAAAUAUGGUUGAAAGAUGAAAAACAAAUAGACAAACAAAAAUAUUGAACCACACAGAUGCACAACAGUAUUUGUAAAAAAUCUGUGAAACAAAACCUGUAUACUUAGCAUUUUUCUUUCCUUUAACAGUUAAUAACUUUGCU
rnacentral:lncRNA from 1 species